ensembl:ncRNA lncRNA:CR44723 long non-coding RNA:CR44723
UCGCAGACGCAGAGUACCGCAGUCGAAAAAAAAGGUUAACUCAAGACCAAAAAAAAAAACAGGAGAAAAAAUGGAAAAAAUGGAAAAAAGAAACGCUGAACAACAAUAACAAAGUGGAUGGAAAAAAGUACGACCAUCAACACGAUCAUCAACGAGAACCAUAAAUAAGACUUAAAUGGCAUGAAAAAGGCAAAGGCAGCAACAACAGCAACUCUGACUGCAAUCAAAACGCAGGCUAUGGCCAUUACAGCAACAACAAAAGCACCAACAACAAAGUUAACCACAGCAAACAACUGAAAAGAAAAAGCAGCGAAAAAAAAUACAACAAAAAUUAUCAACAAAAUAAUACAAAAAAAACACCACACGAAGUCAACGUUAUAAAUCGCCUAUAAAAGCAACAACAACCACAGCGAGCAGCCGCACCUUCGCACACACACACACACACAAGCACGCGUACCUGUAUAAUCUCGGUUACCAUAUGUACAUACAUACAUACAACCCUGCUCUGCCUCUGACCGCUUCCUCUUCCUCAUGCUCCAACUUUAACUCCAAUUGCGACUCCGAAUUCGAAGCGAGGAGCGAGGAGCCUGCAGCGCUUGGGGAUCGAGCGACCCAAAAUGACGGAAGACAAAAAAUAGGGGCCAUCUCAAGGAACCGAAGCUUACGAUACCCUUG